rnacentral:rRNA from 1 species
AGAGUUUGAUCCUGGCUCAGAAUGAACGCUGGCGGCGUGCUUAACACAUGCAAGUCGAGCGAGGCGGAGGGGGGCAACUCCUUCCAGUCGAGCGGCGGACGGGUGAGUAACACGUGGGUAACCUGCCCGGAAGUGGGGAAUACCUCGGAGAAAUUCGAGCUAAUACCGCAUGACAUCUUCGGGACGAAAGUCCUGACGAUCAAAGCGGGGUCGCAAGAUCUCGCGCUACCGGAUGGGCCCGCGCCCGAUUAGCUAGUUGGUGAGGUAACGGCUCACCAAGGCUUCGAUCGGUAACCGGCCUGAGAGGGCGAUCGGUCACACCGGAACUGAGACACGGUCCGGACUCCUACGGGAGGCAGCAGUGGGGAAUCUUGCGCAAUGGGCGAAAGCCUGACGCAGCAACGCCGCGCGGAGGAUGAAGGCCCUUGGGUUGUAAACUCCUGUCGGCUGGGAAGAAAUCGUUCGUGGCUCAUACCCACGGACGUUGACUGUACCAGCAAAGGAAGCCCCGGCUAACUCUGUGCCAGCAGCCGCGGUAAUACAGAGGGGGCUAGCGUUAUUCGGAAUUAUUGGGCGUAAAGGGCGCGUAGGCGGCCAUGCGUGUCUUCCGUGAAAUCCCUCGGCUUAACUGAGGACGUGCGGAAGAAACUGCAAGGCUCGAGUCCGGGAGAGGGGGGGUGGAAUUCCCAGUGUAGCGGUGAAAUGCGUAGAUAUUGGGAGGAACACCGGUGGCGAAGGCGGCCCCCUUGGACCGGUACUGACGCUGAGGCGCGAAAGCGUGGGUAGCAAACGGGAUUAGAUACCCCGGUAGUCCACGCCGUAAACGAUGGGCAC